AUUGAACGCUGGCGGCAGGCCUAACACAUGCAAGUCGAGCGAGCGGCGGACGGGUGAGUAAUGUCUGGGAAACUGCCUGAUGGAGGGGGAUAACUACUGGAAACGGUAGCUAAUACCGCAUACCAUCAGAUGUGCCCAGAUGGGAUUAGCUAGUUGGUGGGGUAACGGCUCACCAAGGCGACGAUCCCUAGCUGGUCUGAGAGGAUGACCAGCCACACGGGAACGGAGACAGGGUCCAGACACCUACGGGAGGCAGCAGUGGGUAAGAUUGCAAACUGGGCGCAAGCCUGAUGCAGCCAGGCCGCGUGUAUGAAGAAGGCCUUCGGGUUGUAAAGUACUUUCAGCGGGGAGGCGUUACCAGCAGAAGAAGCACCGGCUAAUUCCGUGCCAGCAGCCGCGGUAAUC
rnacentral:rRNA from 1 species